rnacentral:rRNA from 1 species
CCUACGGGAGGCAGCAGUGGGGAAUAUUGGGCAAUGGGCGCAAGCCUGACCCAGCAACGCCGCGUGAAUGAAGAAGGCCUUCGGGUUGUAAACUUCUUUUAUGAGGGAAGAGCAUAAGACUGUACCUCUUUACUCAUCCACGGCUCACUACGUGCCAGCAGCCGCGGUAAUACGUAGGUGGCAAGCGUUGUCCGGAUUUACUGGGUGUAAAGGGCGUGCAGCCGGGAAGACAAGUCAGAUGUGAAAUCCCGCGGCUCAACCGCGGAAAUGCAUUUGAAACUGUUUUUCUUGAGUACAGGAGAGGUCAGCGGAAUUCCUUGUGUAGCGGUGAAAUGCGUAGAGAUAAGGAAGAACACCAGUGGCGAAGGCGGAUGACUGGACGGCAACUGACGGUGAGGCGCGAAAGCGUGGGGAGCAAACAGGAUUAGAUACCCGAGUAGUC